GAAACCAUAUGGUAUUUGUCUUUCUCUAAUAUUUCACUUAGCAUUAUAGCCUUUAGAUCUAUCCAUGUUGUUAACAAAUGACAAGAUGUCAUCUUUUUUUGUAGCCGAGUAAUAUUCCAUUGCAUAUAUAUACCACAUCUUCUUUAUCCAUUCAUCUGUGGAUGGACACUUGGGUUACUUCCAUAUCUUGGCUAUUGUAAAUAACACUGCAAUAAACAUAGGAAUGAAUAUAUCUUUUCAAAUUACUUUUUUGUUUUCUUUGGGUAAAUACCUGUAGUGGGAUUACUGGAUCAUAUGGUAAUUCUAUUUUUUAUUUUUUCAGGAACCUUCAUACUCUUUUUCACAGUGGAUACACCAAUUUGGCUGGAGGAUUUUAAAGAAAAUUUUACAGUAAUUACUUUGGCAUGCAAUCUAAAACAGAUAAGGACAUCAAAAAAUACACAUAAUCACUAUGCCAUCAUCAUAUUCAACAAACUUAACAAUAAUUCGUUAAUUCUCAGUUCAUAUUCAAAUUUUCUCAAUUGUUUUCAAGAUAUCUUUCUGCCUUUGAUUUGUUCAGCUCAGGAUCCAAACAAGAUCCACUUGGUUAAUAGAUUUCUUAAGCCUCUCUUAUUUUAUAAUAGUCUAUCUUCCCUUCUUUUAUGUCACUGAGUUUUUGAAGAAACUGGGUCUUUUUUCUGUAGACUCUCCUUCACUCUGCAUUUGGCCAGUUGCUCCUGUAUGAUAUUGUAUAACUUGCUCUUCUGCCCCCUGUAUUUCCUAUGACCCAAUAGUUAGAUCUAGAGGUUUGAAUAGAUUCAGUGUCAAUUUUUAGGCAAGAAUACCUGAUGGAUGGUGUUAUUUACUUCCUACUGCCUUACAUGGCAUUAUGUCUACAUAAUCUCAUUUUGAUUGAUGCUAAAAAUUGGUGGGUAGGGUUCAGACAAUACCAGCUUAUCUCCCCAUUCUAAAGAUCUCCAUCAACCCUUUACCUAAUAGUCAUUACCUAGAUCCAUUAUUUUAUUAUGGAAUUGCAAAAUGGUGAUUUUUCUAAUGCUAACAUUUCUUCUGCAUUUAUUAGCUGGAAUUUUUCUAUAAAUAAGAGUUUCCUGUCAUCAGCUAUUGCUUACUUUGAGACACAAUUUAUACAGGAAAGAUAGGAUAAAUGCUGCAUUUCCCCCUCUUUAUCAGCUUUCUGAGUAAUGAGUUGAUGCCUUAAUAACCUCCAAUAGUGACCAACAAUGGUUUUUUGCUUUUAGCAUCAUUAUGAUUUCAUAUAUUUUAUAUUUUGAUGUGCUUCAAUCCAAUGCAGUCAUUUUUUGUUUAAGAAAUUUUUUAUUUUAUGUUUACAGAAAAUUGCAAAGAUAAUACAGUGUUCUCAUAUACUCCUGACUCAUUUUCCCCUAUUGUUAACAUCUUACAUUGCUGUCGUUACGGAACCAGGCUGGAACACUGGCGGAAAAACCAAGUGGCACUCGGAGAUCUUGGUGGAUUGGAGAUUUAUUUUACACCGGCAGGCUCAGAGGAGACAGCUCUGAGGUUUUUCAAAGGUCUGAGACCGGAAUGCAAGUGGGGAGGGUAAUUUAUAGCCGACAGCCUCCAUAUCUGUGGGGGUUUUCGCGCACAGCAAACAAAGGAAGAAGAAACUGGAGGAGGGGUCUCUAAGCUAGAGACCAGUGUUUGUUUUAGUCCAAUCAGCCAUCUUUGGUGUACUUUAUCCACUUCUCCAACACUAUAAUAUAUUUGUCACAACUGGGAAACCAAUAUUGGUACAUUGUUAUUCAUUAAACUCCAUAGUUUAUUCAGAUUUCACUAGCUUUUCCCUAAUGCCCUUUUUCUGUCCCAGGAUCCUAUCCAGGAUACCACAUCAUAUUUAACUGUCCCACCUCCUUAGCCUUCCUGGGUUUAUGAUAGUUUAGCCCUGGGCUUUUCUUUGUUGGGAGGAUUUAGAUUACUGACUCAAUAACUUUACUUGUUAUAGGUAUGUUCAUAUUUCUUAUAGCAUUUUGAGUCAGUUUUGGUAGUUUGUGUAUUUCUAGGACCUUGUCAAUUUCAAAUAUGUUAUCUAAUUUUUUGCAUACAAUUGCUCGUUGAAUUCUCUUAUAAUUCAAUUUUCUGCACAGUUGGUUAUAAUGUCCCCACUUUAAUUUGUGAUUUUAGUGAUUUGAAUCCUCUUUCUUUGUUUUUUGUCAGUCUAGCCUGAGGGUUUGGCAAUUUUGUUGUUGUUUUCAAGGAACAAAGUUUUCAUCUUGUUGAUCCCCUUCAUUGUUUUUCUGUUCUCUAUUUUGCUUGUUUUCACUCUAAUCAUUUCCUUCCUUCUACUAACUUGGGUUUAGCUUGCUCUUAUUUUUCUAGUUCAUAAAGGGAUAAAGUUAGGGUAUUGAUUUAGGGUUUUCUUUUUUAUGUAAUUAUUUACAGCUAUAAUUCUACCUCUUGGCAUUGCUUUUGAUGCAUUGCAUAAGUUUUGGUAUAUUACAUUUUUAUUUUCAUUUGUCUCAAAGUAUUUUAUAAUUUCACUUGUAAUUUCUCUUUGACCCACUGGUUGUUUAAGAGUGUGUUGUUUAGUGGUACCUGGGUGGCUCAGUUAAGCAUCUGACUCUUGAUUUCAGCUCAGGUCAUGAUCUUACAGUUGCCCUGCAUUCUGUAAGAUUCUCUCUCUCUCUUUCUCUCUGCCCCUACCCAGCUCUCACGCUCUCUCUCUGUUUCUUUCAAAAUAAAUAAACAAACUUAAAAAAAAGAGUGUGUUGUUAAAUAAGAUGUUUUGUAUGAUUUCAGUCAUUUUAAAUUUAUUAAGACUUGUUUUGUGGCCUACCAUGGUCUACUCUGAUAAAUGUGUACUUGAGAAGAAUGUGUAUUCUGCUAUCAUUGAGUAGAUGUUCUAUAUAUUUCUCAUAGAUUUAGUUGGUUUAUAAUAUUGUUCUAGUCCUCUAUUUCCUUAUUUAUCUCCUGUCUAGUUGUUGUAGCCAUUAUUAAGAAUAUUGCAAUUUCCAACUAUUAUUGUGGAACUGUUUAUUUUUUCUUUCUCCAUCAUGAUAGUUUUUGCUUCACAUAUUUUGGGGGAUCUGUUGUUAGUGCAUAUAAGUUUAUAAUUUUUAUAUCUUCUAUAUGGGUUAACCAUUUUGUUAAUAUGUAAUGUUGUUCUUUGUGUCUUGUAGAAAUUGUUGUCUUAAAGUCUUUUUUGUCUAAUAUUCGUAUAGCCUUCCCAGCUCUCAUUUUGUAAUUAUUGGGGUGGAAUACCUUUUUCCACCCAUUUUAUUUCAACCUAUUUGUGUCUUCUAGUUUAAAGUGAGUCUCUUGUAAACAACAUAUAGUUGGAACACGUUUUUUUAUCCACUCUGCCAAUCCCUACAUUUUCAUUGGUGAGUGUAUUCCGUUUACUUCAUGGAUAUUGUCUUUGAUAUUUUGUAGUGUACCAAUAUGAUUUUCUUCUCAUUUCUUUUUCUGUAUUUUGUUUUUAGGUUUUUUUAUUAGUGGUUAUCCUGGAAUUACAAUUACCUUAACUUUAUAACAAACAAGUUUGCAUUAAUACUGUUAGUUUCAAUAGUACACAAAAACUCUGCCCCUAUACAGCUCCAUCAUGCCCUCUUUAUGUUGUUGUUGUCACAAUUAUAUCUCUAUACAUUAUUUUUUACUUAACAUAGAUUUAUAAUUAUUGUCUUAUGCAUUUGCAUUUUAAGUAACAUAGGAAAAAAGAAGUCCAAUAUCUGAAUAGUAGGUGUUCUAGUCAGGGGCGCUUGGGUGGCUCAGUCAGUUAAGUGUUCAACUCUUCAUAUCAGCUCAGUUCGUGAUCUCGCAAUUGUGAGAUCGAGCCCGAUGUCAGGCUCCACACUGAGCAUGGAACCUGCUUAGGAGUCUUUCUCUCCCUCUCUGUCUGCUCCUCCCCUGCUCUGUCUCUCAAAAUAAAUAAAUAAACUUAAAAAAAUAGGUGUUCUAAUCAUAGAAGAAGGGAACAUGAAAGGAAUGAAGUUUUUAAUAUAUUAAUUCAAGAAAUUUCCUCAAAACUGAAGGCAUAAGUUUUCAGGAUGAAAGAUCCCAUGAGCAAUGAAAAUGGACCCACACCAAGACACAUCUUCAUAAAAUUUGUGCAUACUGGGUUAAAAAGAAGAUCCUACAAGCUCCCAGAGGUAAAAACAGGUCAUAUAUAAUGGAUCACGAAUCAGAAUGCCUUUGGAUUUCUCAAUAUUAAAAAUGUAAACUAGGAGAUAAUUAGAAGUGCCUUCAAAAUUUUGAAGAAUAAUUAUUUUCAACCGAGAGUUCUGUACCAGCCAAGCUGUCAAUCAAGUGUGAGGACAGAAUAAAGACAUUUUCAAACAAGCAAAGUGUCAAAAAUGUAAUCCUCAAACACCUCUUGGUAAAAACAAGAGUUAUUUUUUUUUAAUGUUUACUUAUUUUUGAGAGAGAGACAGAGUGUGAGUGGGAGAGGGGCAGAGACAGAGGGAGACACAGAAUCUGAAGCAGGCUCCAGGCUUUGAGCUGUCAGCACAGACCCCAAUGUGGGGCUCAAACCCAUGAACCGCAAGAUCAUGACCUGAGCCAAAGUCGAAUGCUUAACCAACUAAGCCACUCAGGUGCCCCUAAAACAAGAGUUUAAAACCAAGGAAGAGGAAAGUUUUGGUUUACUGUGGAAAGGAUCCACUAUAAGAAAGAGGCAAAAGGGAAGAUGCAGAAUGAUGGUUCCAGGAUGACAGCUGCACACCAGGAAGAAAUAGAGGGCAGCAUGCUCACACAGGUUAGAAAGUAUCAGAAGAGAUAUCUUCAAGAUACCUGAUACACCUAAACACAUGGAGAGGAGAUGGAAGCAACUGAUGAAGAAUUUAAAAUUGAACUUCUGCUAAGUAAAUAGAAAAUUAUUUAAAGAAAAAAACACAAAGUAUAUAUUAGCUCCAGGAAAAACAAUAAGUUGUGUAAGGAAAGUUACUUGUGAUAUUUCGUAGCUCAGCUGUGAAUAGUGUUUACUUUGUUUAUUUGGCCACUAUACUAUAAUGACUGAAUAGUGGUCCAACCGAAAUUAUGAUACGCCUAUCUAUAUUGGAAGAAUGUAGGAAUAGGAAGGGUCUUUGGGUGAGAUGGGGGGCAGGGUGUGGGUAGGUAUGUCAAUAGACAAUGUCAAAAACUUAAAAGAAGUAGCAAUAAAAUAAUGUUAUUUAGAGAACCAAGAUAAGUACCAAAAGAGUCAGCUAAAACAGUUGAGAGUUCUUGCCCCCCUUAGAAGUGGGAAAUUAUGGGGAUUUGUUUCAAUAACAAAUUGUUAUUCAUAAAUUGUUUUCAUAACAAAACUUAUAGAAAUAUUUAACUCUGUAAAUUAUGAUAAUGUAUCACUUUGAUAAAAAUAAAAAUAUGAGAGCAAUGCAUGCUCAUAAAAUUUUAGAAAACUCGGAAGUGUAAAAAUAAAGUCACAAAGAAACUUA